UGGCGUGCUUAACACAUGCAAGUCGAACGGAAAGGCCCUGCUUUUGUGGGGUGCUCGAGUGGCGAACGGGUGAGUAACACGCGAGUAACCUGCCCUUGACUUUGGGAUAACUUCAGGAAACUGGGGCUAAUACCGGAUAGGAGCUCCUGCUGCAUGGUGGGGGUUGGAAAGUUUCGGCGGUUGGGGAUGGACUCGCGGCUUAUCAGCUUGUUGGUGGGGUAGUGGCUUACCAAGGCUUUGACGGGUAGCCGGCCUGAGAGGGUGACCGGCCACAUUGGGACUGAGAUACGGCCCAGACUCCUACGGGAGGCAGCAGUGGGGAAUAUUGCACAAUGGGCGGAAGCCUGAUGCAGCAACGCCGCGUGCGGGAUGACGGCCUUCGGGUUGUAAACCGCUUUCGCCUGUGACGAAGCGUGAGUGACGGUAAUGGGUAAAGAAGCACCGGCUAACUACGUGCCAGCAGCCGCGGUGAUACGUAGGGUGCGAGCGUUGUCCGGAUUUAUUGGGCGUAAAGGGCUCGUAGGUGGUUGAUCGCGUCGGAAGUGUAAUCUUGGGGCUUAACCCUGAGCGUGCUUUCGAUACGGGUUGACUUGAGGAAGGUAGGGGAGAAUGGAAUUCCUGGUGGAGCGGUGGAAUGCGCAGAUAUCAGGAGGAACACCAGUGGCGAAGGCGGUUCUCUGGGCCUUUCCUGACGCUGAGGAGCGAAAGCGUGGGGAGCGAACAGGCUUAGAUACCCUGGUAGUCCACGCUGUAAACGGUGGGUACUAGGUGUGGGGUCCAUUCCACGGGUUCCGUGCCGUAGCUAACGCUUUAAGUACCCCGCCUGGGGAGUACGGCCGCAAGGCUAAAACUCAAAGGAAUUGACGGGGCCCCGCACAAGCGGCGGAGCAUGCGGAUUAAUUCGAUGCAACGCGUAGAACCUUACCUGGGUUUGACAUGGAUCGGGAGUGCUCAGAGAUGGGUGUGCCUCUUUUGGGGUCGGUUCACAGGUGGUGCAUGGCUGUCGUCAGCUCGUGUCGUGAGAUGUUGGGUUAAGUCCCGCAACGAGCGCAACCCUUGUUCACUGUUGCCAGCACGUUAUGGUGGGGACUCAGUGGAGACCGCCGGGGUCAACUCGGAGGAAGGUGGGGAUGACGUCAAGUCAUCAUGCCCCUUAUGUCCAGGGCUUCACGCAUGCUACAAUGGCUGGUACAGAGAGUGGCGAGCCUGUGAGGGUGAGCGAAUCUCGGAAAGCCGGUCUCAGUUCGGAUUGGGGUCUGCAACUCGACCUCACGAAGUCGGAGUCGCUAGUAAUCGCAGAUCAGCAACGCUGCGGUGAAUACGUUCCCGGGGCUUGUACACACCGCCCGUCAAGUCAUGAAAGUUGGUAACACCCGAAGCCGGUGGCCUAACCGUUGUGGGGGAGCCGUCGAAGGUGGGACUGGUGAUUAGGACUA
rnacentral:rRNA from 1 species